rnacentral:rRNA from 1 species
UCCUACGGGGGGCAGCAGCCGCGGUAAUACGGAGGAUGCGAGCGUUAUCCGGAUUUAUUGGGUUUAAAGGGUGCGUAGGCGGGCUGUUAAGUCAGCGGUCAAAUGUCGGGGCUCAACCCCGGCCUGCCGUUGAAACUGGCGGCCUCGAGUGGGCGAGAAGUAUGCGGAAUGCGUGGUGUAGCGGUGAAAUGCAUAGAUAUCACGCAGAACUCCGAUUGCGAAGGCAGCAUACCGGCGCCCUACUGACGCUGAGGCACGAAAGCGUGGGUAUCGAACAGGAUUAGAAACCCGUGUAGUCCACAGAU